rnacentral:rRNA from 1 species
CCUACGGGAGGCAGCAGUGGGGGAUAUUGCACAAUGGGGGGAACCCUGAUGCAGCGACGCCGCGUGGGUGAAGGAGUGCUUCGGCACGUAAAGCCCUAUCGGCAGGGAAGAAGCAAGACGGUACCUGACUCAGAAGCCCCGGCUAACUACGUGCCAGCAGCCGCGGUAAUACGUAGGGGGCGAGCGUUAUCCGGAUUCACUGGGUGUAAAGGGAGCGUAGACGGCCAAGCAAGCCAGGGGUGAAAGCCCGGGGCCCAACCCCGGGACUGCCCUUGGAACUGCAUGGCUGGAGUGCGGGAGGGGCAGGCGGAAUUCCUGGUGUAGCGGUGAAAUGCGUAGAUAUCAGGAGGAACACCGGCGGCGAAGGCGGCCUGCUGGACCGCGACUGACGUUGAGGCUCGAAAGCGUGGGGAGCGAACAGGAUUAGAUACCCGGGUAGUC